rnacentral:rRNA from 1 species
AACGAACGCUGGCGGCAUGCCUAACACAUGCAAGUCGAACGAGACCUUCGGGUCUAGUGGCGCACGGGUGCGGAACACGUGGGAAUCUGCCCUUUGCUACGGAAUACCUGAUAGAAAUGACUGUUAAGACCGGAGGAGGUAGAAAGACCAAAGAUUUAUCGGCAAAGGAUGGGCGCGGGUAGGAUUCGGUGGUUGGUGGGGGAAAGGCCUACCAAGGGGGCGAUGCUUAGCUGGUAUGAGAGGAUGAUCCGCUACGCUGGGGAUAAGGCACGGCCCAGACCCGGAGGCAGCGCUGCAGAGGGGAAUAUUGGGCGAGGAGCGCAAGCCUAGUACAGCAGCGCCGCGUAUGUCGUGAUGGCCUUAGGGUUGUAAUGCUCUUUUACAAGAGGUGAUAAUGACGGUAACUGGUGAAGAAGCUCCGGCUAACUACGUG